UGUUGUGGUUAAAAAGCUCGUAGUUGGAUCUCGGCGGUCUGAGGGCAGUUCGCUUGAUUGAGUGCUACUGCUCUAUAGGCCGUGGUUUUGCCAGAGGUCUCGGGGUGCUCUUAACCGAGUGUCCUGCGAUGCUGGCAGGUUUACUUUGAAAAAAUUAGAGUGCUCAAAGCAGGCUUUCACGCCUGAAUAUUCGUGCAUGGAAUAAUAGAAUAGGAAGUCGUCUCUAUUUUGUUGGUUUUCGGAAAUCGACUUAAUGAUUAAUAGGGACAGUCGGGGGCAUUUGUAUUCAAACGACAGAGGUGAAAUUCUUGGACCGUUUGAAGACAAACUACUGCGAAAGCAUUUGCCAAGAAUGUUUUCAUUAAUCAAGAACGAAAGUUAGAGGUUCGAAGGCGAUUAGAUACCGCCCUAGUUCUAACCAUAAACGAUGCCAGCUAGCGAUCUGCCGACGUUUUCUUUGUAGACUCGGCAGGAAGCUUCCGGGAAACCAAAGCAUUUGGGUUCCAGGGGAAGUAUGGUUGCAAAGCUGAAACUUAAGGAAUUGACGGAAGGCACCACCAGGAGUGGAGCCUGUGGCUUAAUUGACUCACACGGAAU
rnacentral:rRNA from 1 species